AUUGAACGCUGGCGGCAGGCCUAACACAUGCAAGUCGAGCGAGCGGCGGACGGGUGAGUAAUGUCUGGGAAACUGCCUGAUGGAGGGGGAUAACUACUGGAAACGGUAGCUAAUACCGCAUACCAUCAGAUGUGCCCAGAUGGGAUUAGCUAGUAGGUGGGGUAAUGGCUCACCUAGGCGACGCUCCCUAGCUGGUCUGAGCGGAUGGCCAGCGAAACUGGAACUGAGCCACGGUCCAGACGCCUACGAGAGGCAGCAGUGGGGAAGAUUGAACAAUGGGCGCAAGCAUGAUGCAGCCAUGCCGCGUGUGGGAAGAUGGCCUUCUGGUUGUAAAGCACGUUCAGCGGGGAGGCGUUACCCGCAGAAGAAGCACCGGCUAACUCCGUGCCAGCAGCCGCGGUAAUAC
rnacentral:rRNA from 1 species